GAUGAAGAACGCAGCGAAAUGCGAUAAGUAAUGUGAAUUGCAGAAUUCAGUGAAUCAUCGAAUCUUUGAACGCACAUUGCGCCCGCCAGUAUUCUGGCGGGCAUGCCUGUUCGAGCGUCAUUUCAACCAUCAAGCCCUGCUUGCGUUGGGGUCCUGCGGCUGCCCGCAGGCCCUGAAAACCAGUGGCGGGCUCGCUAGUCACACCGAGCGCAGUAAUACAUCUCGCUUUGGGCGUGCGGUGGGUUCUUGCCGUUAAACACCCCCUUUUUACCAAGGUUGACCUCGGAUCAGGUAGGAAUACCCGCUGAACUUAAGCAUAUCAAUAAGCGGAGGA
rnacentral:misc_RNA from 1 species